GAUGAACGCUGGCGGCGUGCCUAAUACAUGCAAGUCGAGCGAACAGACGAGGAGCUUGCUCCUCUGACGUUAGCGGCGGACGGGUGAGUAACACGUGGAUAACCUACCUAUAAGACUGGUAUAACUUCGGGAAACCGGAGCUAAUACCGGAUAAUAUAUUGAACCGCAUGGUUCAAUAGUGAAAGACGGUUUUGCUGUCACUUAUAGAUGGAUCCGCGCCGCAUUAGCUAGUUGGUAAGGUAACGGCUUACCAAGGCAACGAUGCGUAGCCGACCUGAGAGGGUGAUCGGCGACACUGGAACUGAGGCACGGACCAGACUCCUACGGGAGGCAGCAGUAGGGAAUCUUACGCAAAGGGCGAAAGUCUGACGGAGCAACGCCGCGUGAGUGAUGAAGGUCUUCGGAUCGUAAAACUCUGUUAUUAGGGAAGAACAAAUGUGUAAGUAACUAUGCACGUCUUGACGGUACCUAAUCAGAAAGCCACGGCUAACUACGUG
rnacentral:rRNA from 1 species